UGCCGGCGACCGGCGGACGGGUGCGUAACGCGUAUGUAACCUACCUUUGACAGGGGGAUAACAUCGAGAAAUUGGUACUAAUACCCCAUAACAUCACCGGAGGCAUCUUCGGUGGUUGAAAACUCAGGUGGUCAGAGAUGGACAUGCGUUGUAUUAGCUAGUUGGUGAGGUAACGGCUCACCAAGGCGACGAUACAUAGGGGGACUGAGAGGUCAACCCCCCACAUUGGUACUGAGGCACGGACCAAACUCCUACGGGAGGCAGCAG
rnacentral:rRNA from 1 species